rnacentral:rRNA from 1 species
AUUGAACGCUGGCGGCAGGCCUAACACAUGCAAGUCGAGCGGAUGAAGGGAGCUUGCUCCUGGAUUCAGCGGCGGACGGGUGAGUAAUGCCUAGGAAUCUGCCUGGUAGUGGGGGAUAACGUCCGGAAACGGGCGCUAAUACCGCAUACGUCCUGAGGGAGAAAGUGGGGGAUCUUCGGACCUCACGCUAUCAGAUGAGCCUAGGUCGGAUUAGCUAGUUGGUGGGGUAAAGGCCUACCAAGGCGACGAUCCGUAACUGGUCUGAGAGGAUGAUCAGUCACACUGGAACUGAGACACGGUCCAGACUCCUACGGGAGGCAGCAGUGGGGAAUAUUGGACAAUGGGCGAAAGCCUGAUCCAGCCAUGCCGCGUGUGUGAAGAAGGUCUUCGGAUCGUAAAGCACUUUAAGUUGGGAGGAAGGGCAGUAAGUUAAUACCUUGCUGUUUUGACGUUACCAACAGAAUAAGCACCGGCUAACUUCGU